GAUGAACGCUAGCGGCAGGCUUAAUACAUGCAAGUCGAGGGGUAACAUGGGUAGCAAUACCUGAUGACGACCGGCAAACGGGUGCGGAACACGUACGCAACCUUCCCAUAACUGGUGAAUAGCCCUCCGAAAGGAGGAUUAAUACACCGUAACAUAAUGAAGUGGCAUCACUUUAUUAUUAUAGGCUUCGGCCGGUUUUGGAUGGGCGUGCGCCUGAUUAGGUAGUUGGCGGGGAACGGCCCACCAAGCCUACGAUCAGUAACUGGUGUGAGAGCACGACCAGUCACACGGGCACUGAGACACGGGCCCGACUCCUACGGGAGGCAGCAGUAAGGAAUAUUGGUCAAUGGACGAAAGUCUGAACCAGCCAUGCCGCGUGAAGGAUUAAAGGCCCCUCUGGGUUGUAAAACUUCUUUUAUAUGGGACGAAAAAAGGGUAUUCUUACUCACUUGACGGUACCAUAGGAAUAAGCACCGGCUAACUCCGUGCCAG
rnacentral:rRNA from 1 species